UACGGAAGGCAGCAGUGGGGAAUAUUGGACAAUGGGCGCAAGCCUGAUCCAGCCAUGCCGCGUGUGUGAAGAAGGCCUUUUGGUUGUAAAGCACUUUAAGCGAGGAGGAGGCUCUCUUAGUUAAUACCUAAGAUGAGUGGACGUUACUCGCAGAAUAAGCACCGGCUAACUCUGUGCCAGCAGCCGCGGUAAUACAGAGGGUGCGAGCGUUAAUCGGAUUUUACUGGGCGUAAAGCGUGCGUAGGCGGCUUUUUUAAGUCGGAUGUGAAAUCCCCGAGCUUAACUUGGGAAUUGCAUUCGAUACUGGGAAGCUAGAGUAUGGGAGAGGAUGGUAGAAUUCCAGGUGUAGCGGUGAAAUGCGUAGAGAUCUGGAGGAAUACCGAUGGGCGAAGGCAGCCAUCUGGGCCUAAUACUGACGCUGAGGUACGAAAGCAUGGGGA
rnacentral:rRNA from 1 species